CGGCGUACGGGUGCGUAACACGUGUGCAACCUGCCUUUAUCUGGGGGAUAGCCUUUCGAAAGGAAGAUUAAUACUCCAUAAUAUAUUGAACGGCAUCGUUUAAUAUUGAAAGCUCCGGCGGAUAGAGAUGGGCACGCGCAAGAUUAGCUAGUUGGUGAGGUAACGGCUCACCAAGGCGAUGAUCUUUAGGGGGCCUGAGAGGGUGAUCCCCCACACUGGUACUGAGACACGGACCAG
rnacentral:rRNA from 1 species